rnacentral:rRNA from 1 species
GUCCACACAGUAACGAUGAAUACUCGCUGUUUGCGAUAUACAGUAAGCGGCCAAGCGAAAGCAUUAAGUAUUCCACCUGGGAGUACGCCGGCAACGGUGAAACUCAAAGGAAUUGACGGGGCCCGCACAAGCGGAGGAACAUGUGGUUUAAUUCGAUGAUACGCGAGGAACCUUACCCGGGCUUAAAUUGCAAAUGAAUUAUGGGGAAACCCAUACGCCGCAAAGGCAUUUGUGAAGGUGCUGCAUGGUUGUCGU